UACGGGGGGAGCAAGCGUUGUUCGGAUUUACUGGGCGUAAAGGGCGCGUAGGCGGCCAGCACAAGUCAGUUGUGAAAUCUCCGAGCUUAACUCGGAAAGGUCAACUGAUACUGUGCGGCUAGAGUGCGGAAGGGGCAACUGGAAUUCUUGGUGUAGCGGUGAAAUGCGCAGAUAUCAGGAAGAACACCAAUGGCGAAAGCAGCUCUCUGGGACGGUACUGACGCUGAGACGCGAAAGCGUGGGGAGCGAACAGG
rnacentral:rRNA from 1 species